GUCUUGGAGGUGCUGCUGGCAGAGGUGGUGGCGGUGGUCUUGUGCGUGGUUAGAUGUGGCACGAUGUGUGGCACGGUUGUCUCUGUGUGGGUGAGGGCUGUUGGGAGGAAAGCACAGGUCAAAUGAGCGUGACCAAGUAAGAGGGGAAGGCAAAGGCAGUGGGCAGAAAUCCUUAGCUGGGGCCACAUGACACAAAGGCAGUGUCUUGAGUCCUCCCAGGAAAGAGUGAGGCAUGGGCCUCCACCUCCUAUAUCUAAACUGCUAACCAAGAAUGUCCCCCCAAAUAGGGGAAAAAGGACAGCACUUGAAGGGUUCCUUCCAACAUGCAAGCACCCUCUGCCUCUCAAGGGAGAGAAGCCUAUCCAAAUGUGUGUUUCUCCCUCAAAGGAACAGGCACAGUGAAACAACUGUCCCUUCCCAGAAAAGAGGGAAGUCUCUGUGGGAGAGACCUGUGCCACACGGCCUUUUCCAAGGCAGGCCAUGCCAUAGUACUGAUGUCAAAGCAGGCAGGAACAGAGAGUAACUACCAAAACAAAUGCCCUAGCAGCCUGUGCUGCUAGGAAAGAAGGAAGAAAGGAAGAAAGAAGAAAUGUGGAAGGAAGGAAUUGUGGUAGCUGUGAAGAAAAGGUAGGACAGUGGGAAAGGCUGGAGGCAGCUUUACCAGGUUGAGAGGAGAUCUGCCAUGUUGAGGACAUGGUUGAGGAGGGAGAAGAUGCAGGUGAAGACAUUGGUCUGGUUUUGGCUGUGGAAGGUGCAGAGGACUCUAUUGCAGGUCCUGAGGAAGUAAAAGUCUCUCUGGAUGUGCAUGUCUCCCCUCCAAGGAGUUUCAGACUGAGCAAGAACAUCAUCUGGAAAAGCUGGGAUAUGGAUUCAUGCACACAGGCCAUUCUUAGGAGCUAAAGGAAAACUGGGAAACUACCAGAACUGCAGCAAAAAUAGCUUCAGCUGGCACAGCUGGAUGUUGAAGACCUGUCCAAACCCUGACUCCACACUGGCUGCUGGCUAUAAAGAUACUGUGUCCAUUUCAGUGGGACAGUGCUCUAUAAACAAAAAGUGAAACUCAAGAGUACAACAUAACAUAUUUUUUCUAAGUUGGAAUAAGGUACCAGCAUAAUAACUUCUUGAUAAAUUAAACAAGAACAUUUCUACAAGAAAGAAAUAGCACAAAACAAUCUCAUUAGCUGUUGAGUUGCGAUACAGACUCACUGCAUGGCCAGCACUUCUGCUUCCACAAUUGCCUGUCAUGCUCCUCAAAAUCAUAGUAGAUCCUACUCACUCUGGCUUGUCCUCUAUAAUGAGUUAGCAAUGGCAAAUAACUGUUUGAAAUUUUGCCAGUGUUUCAGUACAGCCUCUUCGAUCAGCCUGCACUCGGCAAGCAUCUCCAGAACACAGAAUGCUUCUUCCUCUGUCCUUCCAAGUUCCCAGUGAACCAUGCAUCACAAGA